UGUUGAACAGCUGAGCUGGUGCAGGCACCCUCCCCUCUUCCUGAUUUCGGUGGGAAAGUUUCUAAAGUUCCACCAAGUUUCAUUGCUUGCUCUGAAUUUAUGGCUGAAUAUAUGGCAGCGUCAAGUGGAGCCGAGAGGGAGGAGCAGCAGGAGCAGGAAGAAAAGGGGAGCUUGCAAAGCUUGCAGAGCUGGCCGGAAGGACCUGGCAGAAGUGGGGGGCCUGAUGUCCCUUUCGCAAAGCUCCCCAGGGAGGCUGUCUUGUAAGGGAUGCUUCCAUCGCUUGUCAUCUCAAGACUCCCCUGGGGAGGCAUGCAAGACAGCAUCUGCUAGAGUCCGCCAGCCAUGCGGGAAGCCUGUGGAAGGUGCUCCUCUCACCAUGACCCCAGCACUUUCCCUGGCUCUUCUCACCCAGCGUACUCUACCUUUGGCCUCCACUCUGCCAGCAGAACCUCCAUCGGCCUUGACCAGAACUCCACUAGGCCCUGUUGCCACGAGCUCAGCUCCAGGUCACUCCUGUUGGCCAUUUCCCAACUCAGGCCACGGCCGCGUGAGCUGUCGCAUUGAGUUCCUCUCCAGGUGGAACAUAAUCAAGGUCUUGCUCUUCCCUGUGUCAUCACACUUCGAGUCCCAGCAAGGGCACCUGUCCUGCCACUGACCAGUGGCCUCAUUCUGGGGAGGCCCCACAAAUAGGGAGGGAGAGACUGAUAGCCCCUCAGUUGCCAACCCUGAUGUCCAGAAGCUGCUCGAGACAGAAAUCACGGAAAGAAUACAAACGGAGGUCUGGGAAAAAGAACAAGAUGAUCCACACACUCCUCAGAUGCUCGAAGCACACACUAUCAUGUCUGGGCUGAAUUCACGCUGGGGCCUACCCCUCCUGUCUUUGGGGCCUGCAGAUCUGAAAGCAUGUGAGGCUCAACACUCGGCCCUUCCACGGUCCCCUUUUCCCCCCGCAGCCACCUGUGAUUCUGGGGCCCCCUCGAAAGCUGACUUUGCACACUUCAUGGGAAAACCUCUUGAGCCUCCUCCAGGUGACAAAGUCUUAACUUUGACAACAAAAGCAUCAGUUCCCAGCCUGGCCCAUCCCCUCCCUGCUCCCUCACCUGUGUGUGAGGAAAAUCAGAAGGCCCUGGGAGGGACCCUACCUGGCGAUGGCAGUGGGCCCUCAGAAGCCUCUCUCUUGGGACAGGAGGGCUGGCCGCCUUCUCCAACCUUCCCAUUCAGCCUCUCAGAGAGAAAAGGGCAGAGUGGGACCUUCGUGGGGGCCGAGCAAGGCCGUUGAGAGCUGACUUCAGGGUCAGCAGUGGCCAGGAAUGAGCCUCGGGAGGAGAGUAGGGGUGGGGCCUCACCAGAGCCCUGCCAUGGGGUGGCAACUCUGGAGGGGGAGUCAGGGUCCCAGUCUUGGAGCCAGGUCGGGGGAAUAGGAGACACCCUAGGGACCAAACCCCUCAAGCCCCUGCCUGAAAAGGAAGAGGUUUUUCAUGACAGCCCUUUCAGAAAAAUGUUGAGACGCCUCCUGCCCUGCCUGAGGCCCAACAAGGAUGAAGCACCAGAGGAUCCCCUUGCAAAGGCAAGCCCGCAUCAGCCACCGCUCAGAGCCGGGCACGGGUCACACACAGCUCGGCGUUGGAUGGCAGGGCUGUUCAGGAACCAUCGACAGUGACAUCCUUUGCAUCCUGGGAGAGAAACUGAGGCUUGCCGAGAACUUUUGGCCUCCCAGUUGAAGCAUCAUAAAAACCAUUUCAGGCCUGGGAAGCUGGACAUACCUGUUACCACGACGUUCCCUCCUCCCCAGAGCAGAGAAGAACAAUGACAGAGGACAGUCCCCAACCUACCUCCAGGAACCACAACUGUCCGACUACGAGGGAAUGGAUCAGAAUAGGCAUGGCAACUGGACCUUGCCAUCCAGGCAGCCGCGGUCCCCAGCCAAACCCUGCCAGCCUGUGCUAAGGGUGGCAGCUGCCUCAGCCAAUCCAUUACCCGCCAUGCUGUCCUCAGAUAUGUGUCUCCUGGGAUGAGUAGACUGUGUCUGACACACCUUUCCUCAUAGGAACGCUUAUCUCCCCAAAUGGGGAAGUGGAGGAACAGAAAACCUGGUUUUUCUCCUUAUCCCACCCUCUGUGCUAACGGUGUCUUCCUACCCCAGUUUUCCCCAAAUACGCUUUUUUUCUCCUUAGAGGUUGUGGCUUCUGUUUGUGCCCUGCUAGUGGCAAAAACGGGGUCAGGCUCCGCCCUUCCUGAGUGUCUGCUUUGGCUUCCAGAAGAGACAGGGCCAUGGGGGGAGGCUGACUGCAGAGUGGCUCACCUGACCUCUCCCCAACUCCCCCAUUGCACCUGAAGUUCCC
ensembl:lncRNA